CACGUAGGAGGCAAACGUUAUCCGGAUUUACUGGGCGUAAAGCGCAUGUAGGUGGUUCUGUAAGUAGGGCGUGAAAGCUCCCGGCUCAACUGGGAGAGGCCGUUCUAAACUACAGAGCUAGAGGAUGGUAGAGGGAGGUGGAAUUCCGGGUGUAGCGGUGGAAUGCGCAGAUAUCCGGAGGAACACCAGUGGCGAAAGCGGCCUCCUGGUCCAUUCCUGACACUCAGAUGCGAAAGCUAGGGUAGCAAACGGGAUUAGAUACCCCCGUAGUCCCUGAG
rnacentral:rRNA from 1 species